AUCGAACGCUGGCGGCAGGCCUAACACAUGCAAGUCGAGCGCCCCGCAAGGGGAGCGGCGGACGGGUGAGUAACGCGUGGGAACGUACCCUUUGCUACGGAAUAGCCUCGGGAAACUGGGAGUAAUACCGUAUGUGUCCUUCGGGAGAAAGAUUUAUCGGCAAGGGAUCGGCCCGCGUUGGAUUAGGUAGUUGGUGGGGUAAUGGCCUACCAAGCCGACGAUCCAUAGCUGGUUUGAGAGGAUGAUCAGCCACACUGGGACUGAGACACGGCCCAGACUCCUACGGGAGGCAGCAGUGGGGAAUCUUAGACAAUGGGCGCAAGCCUGAUCGAGCCAUGCCGCGUGAGCGAUGAAGGCCUUAGGGUUGUAAAGCUCUUUCAGGGGGGAAGAUAAUGACUGUACCCCCAGAAGAAGCCCCGGCUAACUCCGUG
rnacentral:rRNA from 1 species